rnacentral:rRNA from 1 species
AUGGAGAUGGAGCCGACCGGCCCGAGUACCAAGAGGAUGAGACCCGCGCCACCCGACAUCCACCAAUCGACGCCAGGUCCAGCGGAAACGACCGACCCGGAAGCCACGGCCGCGGGGAGAACCCAACACCCGCCGCCGGGAGCCGGGAGAGAUGGCGGCGAGGGAUCGCCGGACCGCAUCAGCGAUCUUCCCGACGCGGUCCUCGUCGAGAUAAUCUUCCUCCUCCCCACCAAGGAGGGCGCCCGCACCCAAGCCCUCGCGUCCCGGUGGCGCCACCUCUGGCGCGCCGCCCCUCUCAACCUCGACUGCCUUGGCCUCCCCGGCAACCUCCCCGGCGCCAUACUCUCCGCCCACGGGGGCCCCGUCCACCGCCUCUGCCUCCCGUCGCUCCCCCUCCCUGGACAGGCUCCAGGAGCUCGAGUUCUACCUGGAGCUGCCAAUAACAUACAGAUUUUCGUUCUCAAGGUUACAGCUGCUGCAACCACCAACGGCGUCCAUCUUCAGGUUCUCGUGCACUCUCCGCGUCGCCACCGUCAGCCAGUGCCAUCUCCCGGACAAUACUGUGGAGACGCUUCAGUUUCCCCUGCUCAAGAAGCUUGCGCUGGUGGAGGUCAAAAUCUCGGAGGGCUCGCUGCAGAGCAUCAUCGCCUCCGGCUGUUCUGCCCUGGAAAGCUUGUUGCUCAGGACUAG